AAGUUACGGUGUACAUUUAAAUGGCUCCGGUGAGGUUGCGACGGAAUGUAACAUACCGAAUUUUAAAUAUAAAAGUGAAAAUAAAUAAAAAUAGUAUGAGAUACUAUUUUUAUUGGAUUUAGAGAAGUGAAAUAUAAGUUGGGAAUGACCUGUGCUGAAAUCGGAGCGACAACAGAAGAUUUAGAAUUUUCUGUAAGAAACGGGGCAGAUAAAUUAGCAGAAAAUGCACAGUGUCAGAAAAUUAUGAAAAUUAGCGGAGAUAUCAGAAAUAUUUUUAUGAUACUGGAUUUAAAGUU
rnacentral:lncRNA from 1 species